GGUCAUGUGGCCGAGUGGCUAGGCAACGGUCUGCAAAACCGUCUACACCGGUUCGAAUCCGGUCAUGACCU
rnacentral:tRNA from 1 species